AACUUUCAGCAACGGAUCACUUGGUUCUGGCAUCGAUGAAGAACGCAGCGAAAUGCGAUAAGUAAUGUGAAUUGCAGAAUUCAGUGAACCAUCGAACCUUUGAACGCACAUUGCGCCCGGCAGUAAUCUGCCGGGCAUGCCUGUCCGAGCGUCAUUUCUACCCUCGAGCGAGUCCAGCAUCUAGGUGCUGGGCCUCGCCCGGCGUUGGAGCACUACGGGAAGCCCUGUGCUGUCCCCCGUAGGCCCCGAAAUGAAGUGGCGGUCCUGCCGCGGCGCCCCCUGCGUAGUAUAACAGCUCGCUUCGGGACCCGGUGGAGGCCUGCCGUCAAACCUAUACUCUCUAAGUUUGACCUCGGAUCAGGUAGGGUUACCCGCUGAACUUAAGCAUAUCAAUAAGCGGAGGCU
rnacentral:misc_RNA from 1 species